rnacentral:lncRNA from 1 species
UUUCAACUUAAUUCAUUGAGUAUAACCUCCAAGUCGUUCAGAAUAGAUGAAUUCUUAACAUGGAACUUUUUCAUUUGUUCUUUCCAAGAGAACAGAAAUGGCCACGUUUGCAGGAUUCAGUCAAAGGAUAGAUAAAAUGGCUAGGGCUAAACGAAUUUAUUAGCAUCUUCCUGAGAAGAAGAAUAGGGAGAAUAUGUUUGAAGGCAGAUCUCAGUUAACCAUGGCCUCAGGACCAUAGAUGAGUUGAUUGGCUUCUUUAUCUUCAUGAAAUUGACAUAAGCAGUAC